UCAUAUUUCGCAUUGUUGACG
rnacentral:miRNA from 1 species